rnacentral:lncRNA from 1 species
AUUCCCUGGCAAGACACAAAGAAGCCUCAUUCUAUUACUUUGCAACUCUUUCCCGGAAGCUCACUAUAUUAUUGCUAAUCUGGAAAAAGCAAACAGCAUUUAUUAAAUUCCUUCUGUGUUCCAGGCUUCAUACCUUAAGCAAUGUACUCCCCCCCACACACUGGGCCAUUUGAGGGAAACAUGUUUAGAUGCCAAUCUAGUUUGAUCCAUCCAAUUCUUUCACUUCAAAAUAAAAAGCGUGUCAUUUUGUUUUUGAGAUGAUAGGAAUAAGUGGUCAGCUUCUCUUCUUUAUUAUUUCUUUCAGGUAAAUCACUUCAUCUAACUGCUUUGAAUAUUUGUGCUUCCCAAAAAUUCCUGUGUUGAAACCUAAUCUUCAGUGUGAUGGCACUAGUUGGUGGGGCCUUU